AACGAACGCUGGCGGCAUGCCUAACACAUGCAAGUCGAACGAGACCUUCGGGUCUAGUGGCGCACGGGUGCGUAACGCGUGGGAAUCUGCCCUUAGGUUCGGAAUAACUUCGGGAAACUGAAGCUAAUACCGGAUGAUGACGUAAGUCCAAAGAUUUAUCGCCUAAGGAUGAGCCCGCGUUGGAUUAGCUAGUUGGUGAGGUAAAGGCUCACCAAGGCGACGAUCCAUAGCUGGUCUGAGAGGAUGAUCAGCCACACUGGGACUGAGACACGGCCCAGACUCCUACGGGAGGCAGCAGUGGGAAUAUUGGACAAUGGGCGAAAGCCUGAUCCAGCAAUGCCGCGUGAGUGAUGAAGGCCUUAGGGUUGUAAAGCUCUUUUACCCGGGAUGAUAAUGACAGUACCGGGAGAAUAAGCUCCGGCUAACUCCGUGCCAGCAGCCG
rnacentral:rRNA from 1 species